rnacentral:lncRNA from 1 species
UCUGGUCUGAAAAGACGUGAGAGGACACCCUCUGAUGAGAGUGGUGACGCGAAUAUCUGUUAGGGGUCACCUUUAGCUGAGUACUAUCGUGGCUAUAGAAUAUCUGAUAGGACCACUGUGGUUGGUACGACCUUGGGCAUAAAUCAUACCAUAGUUUGGCAAGCUGAAAAUAUGCCUGAGCAAAUUGUCGUUAUAUAUCUGAUUUGGUCAUUCCACAUGGGUAGUCAAAAAUCCGUAUUUGCCAUCAGAGAUGGAAGUUUGAACAAGUUCGCGAAGCAUAACAUGAAAAUUUGAGCAUUUCAUAAUUUAUUUGAUUUUUUCUAUUGAUAAGUAUUAUUUU